AGGACGAACGCUGGCGGCGUGCUUAACACAUGCAAGUCAAGGGGGCCCAGCAAUGGGCAACCGGCGAACGGGUGCGCAACACGUGAGCAACCUACCGAAAUGUGGGGGAUAGCCGGCCUAACGGCCGAGUAAUACCGCAUACGCUCUCGAUGAGGCAUUUCAUUGAGAGGAAACCUACGGGACAUUUCGAGGGGCUCGCGGCCUAUCAGCUAGUUGGCGAGGUAACGGCUCACCAAGGCAACGACGGGUAGC
rnacentral:rRNA from 1 species